rnacentral:rRNA from 1 species
UACGUAGGGGGCUAGCGUUGUCCGGAAUCACUGGGCGUAAAGGGUUCGCAGGCGGCAAUGCAAGUCAGUUGUAAAAGGCAGUAGCUUAACUACUGUAAGCAUUUGAAACUGCAUAUCUUGAGUAGAGUAGAGGUAAGUGGAAUUUUUAGUGUAGCGGUGAAAUGCGUAGAUAUUAAAAAGAAUACCGGUGGCGAAGUAACCUUACUAGGCUCAUGAUGACGCAGAAGCAAGAAAGCGUGGGGAGCAAACAGG